GAGACCCUUGCCACUAGUUGCUGUCCUUUCCCUUACGGGAAGAGAAGGUAGUUAGUGGGACUGCCGCCGUUCAAGGCGAAGGAAGGAGAGGGCUACGGCAGGUCAGUAUGCCCCGAAACCCCUGGGCCACACGCGGGCUGCAAUGGUAGGGACAGAGGGCUCCCAACUCCGAAAGGAGAAGGCAAACCCUAAACCCUACCCCAGUUGUGAUUGAGGGUUGCAACCCUCCCUCAUGAAUAUGGAAUCCCUAGUAACCGCGUGUCAUCACCGCGCGGUGAAUAC
rnacentral:rRNA from 1 species